UACGUAGGGUGCGAGCGUUGUCCGGAAUUAUUGGGCGUAAAGGGCUCGUAGGCGGUUUGUCGCGUCGGGAGUGAAAUCCACUGGCUUAACUGGUGGCUUGCUUUCGAUACGGGCAGACUGGAGGUAUGCAGGGGAGAAUGGAAUUCCUGGUGUAGCGGUGAAAUGCGCAGAUAUCAGGAGGAACACCGGUGGCGAAGGCGGUUCUCUGGGCAUGUCCUGACGCUGAGGAGCGAAAGUGUGGGGAGCGAACAGG
rnacentral:rRNA from 1 species